GGGGGAAGUCUUACGCCCCCCGCCGGGCAAAGUGUUAAUAGCGCCGCUUGUGGCCGAGCGUCGCGGUUAGUGAAUC
ncrna:unclassified sequences L13-Bacteroidia ribosomal protein leader